AAACUGUCAAGUACUAUAAAUUUAUCUUCUGUAAAUUGUACUUUGACCACUAAAUAUAUCCAUUAAUACAUCUUAGUAAAUGUUCAGGGGUGCUGUCACCUCCCUGACACCUCAUUUACAGCCCCCUUUUCCCCAGCGCUUGGUAUUCUCUGACUUAGUUGGGCUAUACCAGGACACUGUACUGCUGCAAAGUGCUCAGUGUGUGAGGUGGGAGAGGGAGAAGCUGUUGAAUACCCUUCGGUGAGCCCGACCCCAACACCUGGUGGUUAAGAAAAAUGUCUCUGUUUCUGCCUUUUGGAAAUUUUGCUUUUUCUCUUUUUCACAGUGAGUUAUACAAGAGUCAGCAGAAAAGGGAUCUUCCAAAAGGCUGUCACUCUAGGAGAAUAUUUGUCCUCUUGGGUAUCCCUAGUGUACUAGCUGUGGAUUCUGCUCUUAAUUACUGAAUUAUAUUUUUGUCUUUGUCAAAAGACAUUUCACAAGAUAAUAAUCCAUAUUAUAUAAUCCUUUAAGUUCCAUACAUACUUUGGGAGACGUACUGACCAGAUUUCAGUUGUUAUUAAAUGAAGCUUGUAAAGCUUUUGUUGUUUUGUUAGGGUGAGUAUUUCUCUCCGUGCCCCACCACAGUGCACCAAUCACAGAUGAAAUGAAGGAAGCACUUGCUGCGUCUGUCCUAAUACGCACAUGAGCAGGGGGAGAAGUGCUCAUUGCAGAGGCAUUGUGAUUAGCAUCUGCGUGUCAUGAGCCCACACCAAAAAACUGCACGCAGAUUGUCCUUUUCCCAAAUCUAAGCAGACUUCUAGCUCCCUGUCAGUUACCAGUGUUCUUGGUACUCUUGUCUUUUUACUUCUUGUCUUGAUUAUGAAAUAAGCCUUUUGAUGCUCUUUAGGCUGCUUGUGUGCCGUUUGUCCCUCAUAAGAAUACUUCCUUUUACCCCAAUUUUCUUUUAUCUCAUUCCCUAAGACAAAGUCCCUCACCCAUUAAAGGCACGUGAAGUACUGAGCUCUUGUAAUACCAAUAUGUCUGUGAAUAAAUCUAGAAAUGAAGUUUCUUUGACCAGAGCUGAGCUGGGUGUGGGGAGGUUGGGGAAGUGCCCGUCUCAGUUCUGGGUGAAUGGCAGUGACCAUGCACUUCUCUACCAAGGGCUGGGGAGAAGGCUCUGCUCCUACAGGUCGCAUUCUCCAGGGGCAGGAGGGUGGGAGGGAAGCUAGAGACCAGGAAUGGGGAUAUUUGAAAUCUGCAUCGAUCAGGGGCCUCCUUUCCCAAAGAAAGUGGAAGUAUCCCCUUAGAGGCUGAAUGGGACCAAGGAGCCACGUUCCAUGUUCUCUUAAAUAGAAGAGAGCUCAGUGCUAGCACAUACUCCUGUGCUUCCUGAAUGAUUUCCUUUAGUAGUAAUGACAUUUCUAACAAAUGCUUUGUUGGAAAUAUCCUUGCAUCUAACCAAUAAUCAGUUGUUGAACUUUGCCUCUCGUUGUCUCCUUUUCUUUUCUUGCCCACUAUAUGUCACCCAUGCCACUACCCUGUGGGACCUGUUGUCGCUCGAUGUCUGAGCCUGCACAGAGUUAUUUUUAAUAAAAUAUAUGUUUUCUUUCAGCAUGCUUUUCACUUCCACUGCAUCUCUCGCUGGCUCAAAACACGACAGGUGUGUCCAUUGGACAACAGAGAGUGGGAAUUCCAAAAGUAUGGGCACUAGGAAAAGACUUCUUCCAUCAAGCUUAAUUGUUUUGUUAUUCAUUUAAUGACUUUCCCUGCUGUUACCUAAUUACAAAUUGGAUGGAACUGUGUUUUUUUCUGCUUUGUUUUUUCAGUUUGCUGUUUCUGUAGCCAUAUUGUAUUCUGUGUCAAAUAAAGUCCAUUUGGAUUCUAG
rnacentral:sRNA from 1 species